ACGGGAGGCAGCAGCUAAGAAUCUUCCGCAAUGGUCGAAAGACUGACGGAGCGACGCCGCGUGAAUGAUGAAGGCCGUAAGGUUGUAAAGUUCUUUUCUGGAGGGAGAAUAAGCCGAGUAGGGAAUGACUUGGUGAUGACGUGAAUCCAGGAAUAAGCCCCGGCUAACUACGUGCCAGCAGCCGCGGUAACACGUAGGGGGCGAGCGUUGUUCGGAAUUAUUGGGCGUAAAGGGCGCGCAGGCGGCUUGGCAAGUCUGCUGUUAAAUGGUUGAGCUCAACUCAAUCCAGCGGUGGAAACUACUAAGCUAGAGUUAACGAGGGGAUGCCGGAAUUCCAGGUGUAGGGGUGAAAUCUGUAGAUAUCUGGAAGAACACCAAUAGCGAAGGCAGGCAUCUAGCGACUAACUGACGCUGAGGCGCGAAGGUGCGGGGAGCAAACAGGAUUAGAUACCCUGGUA
rnacentral:rRNA from 1 species